CCUACGGGGGGCUGCAGUGGGGAAUAUUGGACAAUGGGGGCAACCCUGAUCCAGCCAUGCCGCGUGUGUGAAGAAGGCCCUCGGGUUGUAAAGCACUUUCAGUGAGGAAGAACGCCUGAUGGUUAAUACCCAUCAGGAAAGACAUCACUCACAGAAGAAGCACCGGCUAACUCCGUGCCAGCAGCCGCGGUAAUACGGAGGGUGGCGAGCGUUAAUCGGAAUUACUGGGCGUAAAGCGCGCGUAGGUGGCUUGAUAAGCCGGUUGUGAAAGCCCCGGGCUCAACCUGGGAACGGCAUCCGGAACUGUCAAGCUAGAGUGCAGAAGAGGAACGUAGAAUUCCCGGUGUAGCGGUGAAAUGCGUAGAGAUCUGGAGGAAUACCAGUGGCGAAGGCGGCCUUCUGGACUGACACUGACCCUGAGGUGCGAAAGCGUGGGUAGCAAACAGGAUUAGAUACCCCUGUAGUC
rnacentral:rRNA from 1 species